rnacentral:piRNA from 1 species
UGCCAUGGGCAGAGGCUGGGAUAGAC